UGUAUGUGUAAGGAGGGGACGGGAGGGGAGGGGGGAGAGCUGGCAGCCAGCCAGCUACCAUCAGAAUUAGCUCAUUGUUCAAUAUAACCGGCACUGGCAACCAAAAUCCAGCCUGAGGGGGGGGGGGGGGGGGGGGGGGGGGAGAGAGAGAGAGAGAGAGAGAGACUUUCCCCCAGCCACCCCCACCCCUUUUUCUUUUUUCUCCAAGGCUGCACUUUGGAAGAGGUGCAGUCAUUCUUCCCCACACCCCCUACCCUCUCUCCACUCCCCCAACUAUAAAUUCCCCUCUGUAGCAUGCUGCCCUUUUUAAAUCCACAUUUGUGUUUCAGAUCAUGUAGAAAGGACAGAAAGUGAGCAGGGAGCGGGGGCUUUUGUCUAUUGUUCUCCUUGUGCUACUUGAGAGAAACUGCAAUCCCAAGACUUAACAGAAUCUAAAAAUGGUUUGUCAACCAAGGUUAAUGAUUUGGGUAAGCCAGAAAAUCUUUCCAACCAGCCGAGGGGAUGGGGGAUUUCCAAAGGGAAGUCUCCCCAUCUCGAAGGAAGUAAACCGCAAGAAGAAAAGUGAGGCAGAAGGGGCAUGCCCGGUUCCAGUAGAUGGCUAUGGACACCAUUUCACCCAAAUCAAUCACCUCUGCUCUUUUUAGUCAUAAUUUCUUCAUUUGUAUUACAUAUGGUGUAUGGGUUUGAUGAGGUCAUGGUGUCAUAUAUUGGGAAUUGUUUCUGUGUAAAUCAU